ensembl:lincRNA
GAACAGGCCAUUGCACUGCACGUUACAAUGGCCACUAGGAAAUGUCAAUCACAUUCCUCACCAUGGAAUACGUGGCACAGGAUGUCUGAUGAGCAGACUAUUUUCUAGAUCAUUCUCUAGUUGACAAGGUAAGGAUGAGAAAAGUGUAAGCUUACAAGAUUAUCAAACUUCUUUUCCUUCAUUUUUCCUUUUUUUUUUUUUUUAAAUAGCAAACAGAAACGAGUUAUUCAUUUAAAAAUCCAAUUUAAUUUAAAAAGUCAGUUUGUAGUUUUGGUAAUAUUUAUGCCUAGAAACUUUAGAUUCUUUUUUUUAAUUGUUGCAUAAUUCAUGUUAAGUAUGUGUACGCUUUAAAUGGCAUUUGUGAGAAGUUAGCCUUCUUCGCUGUAACAAAUGCCUGAAUCCAUGACAUCCAAGGAGGACAAUUUUAUUUUGACUCACAGAUUCAGAGAAGUCAGCCCAUAGUCGCUCGGGAAUGUAGCUUUGGGUCUCCAGUGUCAUGGGGGAGGAGCUACUCACCUCCUAGAAGGCAGGAAUUUCAGAGAAAGAAGAGCGGCCAUGAUGGUGAUUUCUUCUUCAAUGGCAGACCUAUGACUUCACUUUAGUCUCAUACGCCCCAGCUGCGGAAGUUAUUCUCAGGAGUGCCACAGGCUGGUGACACACCUUUAAAACUUGAGGGAAGGCACUCAAGAUGUGAACAACAGCAACACUAUUUCCAAUACUCGAAUUUUUACCUUCUAUGGAGUACAAAUGCCAAGCCCGGAUGUUCUUCACUCAGGAUUUUCUUUCCCUCUUUUUUUUUUUUUUUUUUUUUUUUUUUUUUUUUUUUUUUUUUUUUUUUCGGUCUUUUUUUUGGUUUUUCUCAAGUACCGGGAACCGAACUCACGACCUUGUGCUUGCCAGGCAGGCGCUUUGCCGCUGAGCUAAAUCGCCAGCCCUUGUUCUUUCCUUCUUUACAUUUAAUGUUAUUUGAAGCCCUGCUUCCCUCUCUGUUUUGCGUCCUCGGAAUCAGCACUUUGCCUGUUCUGUACAUCAGCGCCGCACUCAGCAACACUUCUGGCUUCCUCAGGGGAUGAGAGCAGCGAGAGAGAAGACACUAUCCUCACCAGAAAGCUAGACAUUUCAAAAAACAAUUUUUUUUUCCUGUGCUUCAUAUUUUGAUGCAGAGAUUUGUG